CGUGUAGGCGGGUAGACAAGUCAGAUGUGAAAUACCGGGGCUCAACUCCGGGGCUGCAUUUGAAACUGUAUAUCUUGAGUGUCGGAGAGGAAAGCGGAAUUCCUAGUGUAGCGGUGAAAUGCGUAGAUAUUAGGAGGAACACUAGUGGCGAAGGCGGCUUUCUGGACGAUAACUGACGCUGAGGCGCGAAAGCGUGGGGAGCAAACA
rnacentral:rRNA from 1 species